rnacentral:lncRNA from 1 species
CGCGCAGCCGCGGGGGAAACAGCAGCGCGGAGAUUGCGCCCAGGACCCCUAGACUCUCCACGGUGGCCCACCCUGUCUGCAGCGCACCGGGGGACUAUGCUCGGAGUUCAGCUGCCCACAUCUUGUACUAGAAAAAAAUGAAUAUUGACAACAAGGGCUCUGCAUCUGCACAAGAAAGAAAGUACCACUUAACAACAACAAAAUAUCCUGGCCCGGCGAUGGUGCAGUCGGCGGUGCUCGCUGCUCUAGGUUGUUAGCGGCAGAGUUCCGGACCUAGUAAUCCGCCAGCAGAGGAAGGGGGCCGCGGAAUUAAAACGAACAAAAGCUAGAGCGCCAUGCCAAACAUCCCCAACGCGACCCAGUUAGGCAGGAGCCAAGAGGAGUGGUGGGG